rnacentral:rRNA from 1 species
GACGAACGCUGGCGGCGUGCUUAACACAUGCAAGUCGAACGGAAAGGCCCUGCUUUUGUGGGGUGCUCGAGUGGCGAAAGGGUGAGUAACACGUGAGUAACCUGCCCUUGACUUUGGGAUAACUUCAGGAAACUGGGGCUAAUACCGGAUAGGAGCUCCUGCUGCAUGGUGGGGGUUGGAAAGUUUCGGCGGUUGGGGAUGGACCCGCGGCUUAUCAGCUUGUUGGUGGGGUAGUGGCUUACCAAGGCUUUGACGGGUAGCCGGCCUGAGAGGGUGACCGGCCACAUUGGGACUGAGGUACGGCCCAGACUCCUACGGGAGGCAGAAGUGGGGAAUAUUGCACAAUGGGCGGAAGCCUGAUGCAGCAACGCCGCGUGCGGGAUGACGGCCUUCGGGUUGUAAACCGCUUUCGCCUGUGACGAAGCGUGAGUGACGGUAAUGGGUAAAGAAGCACCGGCUAACUACGUG